GAUGAACGCUAGCGGCAGGCCUAAUACAUGCAAGUCGAACGGUAAAUAUUUAGCAAUAGAUAUGAGAGUGACGUACGGGUGCGUAACACGUAUGCAACCUACCCUUUACAGGCGGAUAGCUCGGGGAAACUCGAAUUAACCCGCCGUAAUAUAAUUGAAUGGCAUCAUUUGAUUAUUAAAUCUACGGAGGUAAAGGAUGGGCAUGCGUCUGAUUAGUUAGUUGGCGGGGUAACGGCCCACCAAGACGAUGAUCAGUAGGGGAACUGAGAGGUUGAUCCCCCCACACUGGCACUGAGAUACGGGCCAGACUCCUACGGGAGGCAGCAGUAGGGAAUAUUGGUCAAUGGAUGGAAGUCUGAACCAGCCAUGCCGCGUGCAGGAAGAAGGCCUCUGGGUUGUAAACUGCUUUUGCCAGGGGAUAAAAUGACCUUGCGAGGUUAAUUGAAGGUACCUGGUGAAUAAG
rnacentral:rRNA from 1 species